AAAAACUUAUAUAACACAAGAGAACUUACGGCACCAGUGGUGCCUACAAAGAAACAGCAAGAAAGAACCAAAAAACAGCAGAAAAGAUGUACAACUACGUAGAAUCAAACAAAAUCAAACAACUCCAAAACAUGAACUUGGAGCUCCAAAACAUGAACUUGGAGGAGCACAAAGCAACGGAAGAGGAAAUGGUCUGAUCUCCCAUCCCCAAACGUGAUCUCCCAUCCCCAAACGCUCCCAAAAAUCUCAGCCACGGUCGGACAGAUUGACCGCUGCAAACCACUGCCUAAAGACCAUUGCCGAAGAAAUGGAGGUAAAAGCCGUCCUC
rnacentral:lncRNA from 1 species